rnacentral:rRNA from 1 species
AUUGAACGCUGGCGGCAGGCUUAACACAUGCAAGUCGAGCGGUAACAGAGAGAAGCUUGCUUCUCUGCUGACGAGCGGCGGACGGGUGAGUAAUGCCUAGGAAUCUGCCUAGUAGUGGGGGAUAACUUGCCGAAAGGUAAGCUAAUACCGCAUACGUCCUACGGGAGAAAGGAGGGGACCUUCGGGCCUUUCGCUAUUAGAUGAGCCUAGGUCGGAUUAGUUAGUUGGUGAGGUAAUGGCUCACCAAAACCGCGAUCCGUAACUGGUCUGGGAGGGUGGACAGUCACACUGGAACUGAGACACGGUCGAGACUCCUACGGGAGGCAGCAGUGGGGAAUAUUGGACAAUGGGGGGAACCAUGAUCCAGCCAUGCCGCGUGUGUGAAGAAGGUCUUAGGAUUGUAAAGCACUUUAAGUUGGGAGGAAGAGCAGUUAACUAAUAUUUGACUGUUUUGACGUUACCGACAGAAUAAGCACCGGCUAACUUCGUGCCAGCAGCCGCCGUAA